rnacentral:rRNA from 1 species
UACAGAGGGGGCAAGCGUUAUUCGGAAUUAUUGGGCGUAAAGGGCGCGUAGGCGGCUUGGCAAGUGGAUGGUGAAAUCCCUCGGCUUAACCGAGGAACGGCCGUCCAAACUGCUUCGCUUGAGACCGGGAGAGGUGAGUGGAAUUCCCAGUGUAGCGGUGAAAUGCGUAGAUAUUAGGAAGAACACCAGUGGCGAAGGCGGCUCACUGGUCCGGUACUGACGCUGUGGUGCGAAAGCGUGGGGAGCAAACAGG